UCUCACUCUGCGUGUUUCGCGCUGGAUGACGGUCGUGCUGAGCGGUGCAGGUAUACAGAGAAGUAGAAGAGAAGAGGAUGACAACAUUUGCUAAGGGGGAUGUUUUCAUUUUCAUCCUUAACACAAACAUUUUAAACCACAAACUACGGAGUAUGUUUUGGACAUUAUUUAACCUUUUAAAAGACGAACAAAAAUUUUUAGAAUGACAUUUCUUACUCCAAGUUUUAGGGGUGCUGAAGCACCCCUAAAAAAGGGCUAGCCUCGCUCAUGGUGUUGUCUGUUGCUGAGAAAAUGUGUUUACAUUAUUUCUAUCGUUUGAUUAUUUUCUCUUAAUCUUCAGCAGAGAAGUCUAUAUCACUCUGAAACUCUUCACAGGAUUGGCUGCUCACUGCAAACGUCACAUUUUUAUUUGCAAGCGCUCAAGAAUUUAAAGCCUGUGCUGUGAUACCAACAUUAAGUCUCACUGAAUUUUCUUCAACUUCGACAUCGUGCAUCUCAAUACAGACCACGGGUUUACUUCCCCAGACUAUAGACUACAACCUCCUACAGACAAAAGAAGAACGCUGAGCAGGUCAUGAAGAUCCAUCAGUCUACUGUGAUUCUGCUGCUGGUUAUAUGUGCACCAUUGUCCACUUACAGCCAGAGUUAUGAGGCUUUCAAAAAAAACAUCUGGCUCCAAACGGGAUCACUGACAAUGAUUGUACCACCGAGAUCAAAAAUAGACAAAUCAAUAAGUGCAGAAAAAUACACACCUUCAUAAAAGCAAAUGAAAAUGAAAUUAUACAUGUUUGUGAUAAUGAAAAAAAGCAUCAGAAUUUGCCCUAUAUGAUAAGUGCUACAUUUAAUGUGAUUGAUUGUGCUGGCAAAGAAGAUAACAACGGUUGUAAUUAUACUCAUGUUGAACCAAAUAGAAAAACAUUUAUAUUGACAUGUGAAAAAGGUUUCCCAGUACAUUAUGGCGAAUCCACCUUAAAGUAGCAUCAGUUUAUUUCCCUAUUCAUGUGAUUCUUCUUUUCUGUUUUUCUUUUCUAGAUUGUUUUAGUGCAAAAUUUUCUUCUCUUCUUUCACUCUUUACAUGAUUGAUUACAGCAGGGGUGUCCAAACUCAGUCCUGAAUGGCCACUGUCCUGCAGAGUUUAUCUCCAGCUUUUCUCAACACACCUGGCUGGAAGUUUCUAAUAUGCCUAGUAGCUGGUUCAGGUGUGUUUAAUUGGGGCUGGAGCUAAACUCUGCAGGACAGUGGCCCUUCAGGAGCAGGAUUGGACACUCCUGGAUUACAGUAUCAUUUAUAAGCAAAAAACUGACUACAGAUUGACUACAGAUGUUAAGUGCUUCAGUUCCUUGUACCAUUACUUUGGGUGUUGGUGUCAGCCAGUGUGGCAAAAGCGUGGAAGUUGUUAACAGCUGAUGAGUAAAGAAAAGUUUCUUUGUUUUAGAGAGUAGUGAAUGUACAAAAACAGACAGAAAGAGGAAGAUAGAAGAUGAGUGAAGAAUAUGUUGUGCCUUCUGUGCCAAGACCCUCAAUAAAAUUAUCUACAAGCAUUAAACAUGUCUCUUAUUGU